rnacentral:piRNA from 1 species
UAUUUCUUUGAUGUUUGGUCUCUUUGUGGC